rnacentral:lncRNA from 13 species
AUGCUGCUGUGGCUUAUGAAGGAAAAGGACCCCAUCAGCCCUUUUCUGUGCAGUGAGGAAACAUGUGGCAGGUUUCCAGACCCAGGCUAUCUGAUAUCUGAUCCACGGCACAUACAACCAACCCCCCUCUGCACCCCUCGCUCCUCCUCACAGACUGACACAUUCAUCAAUUCCAGCAGCUUCAUACAAGGCCAGCUGAGAAUCAAUUCCAGCAGCUUCAUACAAGGCCAGCUGAGAAUCAAUUCCAGCAGCUUCAUACAAGGCCAGCUGAGAAUCAAUUCCAGCAGCUUCAUACAAGGCCAGCUGAGAAUCAAUUCCAGCAGCUUCAUACAAGGCCAGCUGAGAAUCAAUUCCAGCAGCUUCAUACAAGGCCAGCUGAGAAUCAAUUCCAGCAGCUUCAUACAAGGCCAGCUGAGAAUCAAUUCCAGCAGCUUCAUACAAGGCCAGCUGAGAAUCAAUCAAUCUAUUCAGAAAAUGGAGCUGCUGCCUUCAUUCUAUUCACAAGUGUGUAGAAAGCAACAGGUUGUAUCCCAAAUAGCUUAAACCUAAACUAGGGCUGAAGGAAGAGGUUGAGGAAAGGUGAACUAGGGCUGAAGGAAGAGGCUGGGGAAUGGUAAACUAGGGCUGAAGGAAGAGGCUGAGGAAUGGUAAACUAGGGCUGAAGGAAGAGGCUGAGGAAUGGUAAACUAGGACUGAAGGAAAAGGCUGAGGAAUGGUAAACUAGGGCUGAAGGAAGAGGCUGAGGAAUGGUAAACUAGGGCUGAAGGAAGAGGCUGAGGAAAGGUGAACUAGGGCUGAAGGAAGAGGCUGAGGAAAGGUGAACUAGGGCUGAAGGAAGAGGCUGAGGAAUGGUAAACUAGGACUGAAGGAAGAGGCUGAGGAAAGGUGAACUAGGGCUGAUGGAAGAGGCUGAGGAAUGGUAAACUAGGACUGAAGGAAAAGGCUGAGGAAUGGUAAACUAGGACUUAAGGAAGAGACUGAGUAACUGAGGGGGAAAGGUAAACAAAGAAAAAUUAGAUUCUUAUGACAUACUGUAAGAGGUCCUAUUUGGCUAAUGCCUUGAAACGCAACAUGUUGAUUGGCUAAUGCCUUGAAACGGGACAUGUUGAUUUGUUAAUGCCUUGAAACGGGACAUGUUGUUUGGCUAAUGCCUUGAAACGCAACAUGUUGAUUGGCUAAUGCCUUGAAACGGGACAUGUUGUUUGGCUAAUGCCUUGAAACGGGACAUGUUGUUUGGCUAAUGCCUUGAAACGCAACAUGUUGAUUGGCUAAUGCCUUGAAACGGGACAUGUUGUUUGGCUAAUGCCUUGAAACGCGACAUGUUUCACAGAAUCGAUGGGAGACAGAAGUACCCAUGUGAAUUCAUAUCCUUCAGCCGUGGAGAGAUACUCUUUCAGACUGUGCCAUACAUUAAAAUGGUUUGAUAAGUGCUUGUGCGUGCGUGUUUAUGCAACACAAUAUACGGUCAGGUUUUGAAAGUGUCUGUCUGUCGUGUUCUAGAGGGAAUAGAUGGCCGUUUGGGACACGGUCAGGCUGGUCAGGUUUUGAAAGCGUCUGUUUGUAGUGUUCUAGAGGGAAUAGAUGGCCGUUUGGGACACGGUCAGGCUGGUCAGGUUUGGAAAGCGUCUGUUUGUAGUGUUCUAGAGGGAAUAGGGGGCUGUUUGGGACUCGGUCAGGCUGGUCAGGUUUUGAAAGUGUCUGUCUGUCGUGUUCUUGAGGGAAUAGAUGGCUGUUUGGGACAAGGUCAGGCUGGUCAGGUUUUGAAAGCGUCUGUUUGUAGUGUUCUAGAGGGAAUAGAUGGCCGUUUGGGACACGGUCAGGCUGGUCAGGUUUGGAAAGCGUCUGUUUGUAGUGUUCUAGAGGGAAUAGGGGGCUGUUUGGGACUCGGUCAGGCUGGUCAGGUUUUGAAAGUGUCUGUCUGUCGUGUUCUUGAGGGAAUAGAUGGCUGUUUGGGACAAGGUCAGGCUGGUCAGGUUUUGAAAGCGUCUGUUUGUAGUGUUCUAGAGGGAAUAGAUGGCCGUUUGGGACACGGUCAGGCUGGUCAGGUUUGGAAAGCGUCUGUUUGUAGUGUUCUAGAGGGAA